rnacentral:tRNA from 6 species
GCGAAGGUGGCGGAAUUGGUAGACGCGCUAGCUUCAGGUGUUAGUGUCCUUACGGGCGUGGGGGUUCAAGUCCCCCCCCUCGCACCA